CGGGGCCUCUGCGCGAGCGGCGGACCCGUAGGGGGGUGAGGCGCCGCUCCGCGCCCUCCGGAAGGCCGCGUGGCUCCGUGCGGGCGUCCUUAGCGCUGCGAGGAGCGCGAUCACCUGAGGGCGGUUCCUGAGGGGAGGGAGCCGGCCUGCGUGCUGCGCUUCAGCUGAACGCUGCUCAGCUAAAAGCACGCGGUACUUGAAAGCAGUGAGGCAGCACGUGGAGGUGUUGUGAGGCGUCCGGGCGGCCCCGGCGCUGCUGCAGGCAGCGGCCGGCAGCGUCCCGCCCCGCGGCACUGUGCAGAACGGCGCUGUGCCGUAAGUUCAGGGAGGGGAGCCGCAGGGAGUGAACUCCCCGGGUGGAGACGCAGAAACCGGCUGUUAAUGUAAUUGAUUGGGUAAUCGUACUGUGCAAAAAGACAGAAAUGCCGUACGUCAGUAGAAUGGACCGCAGGGGAGUUACGGGAUGCUGUGUGAGAAGCCUUGCUGGAACCACGGCGCGCUGCUCUGAUCGCAGCAUCUGCACCGCCGACCGUCGCAGCAUAUCCCGAGUAGGGAGGGACCCACAAGGAUCGCCCGCUCCAACGCCCGGCUCCACACCGGACCACACAAAUUCAAACCCUGUGAGGGCGCUGUCCAAACGUUCCUUGAACUCCGGCAGCCCGGGGCUGUGCCCACUGCCCUGGGCAGCCUGUUCCACGCCCACCGCCCUCUGGUGAAGAACCUUCUCCUAACACCCAGCCUGGCCCUAAUAACCAGUCUGAGACAUAAAAAGCAAA
rnacentral:lncRNA from 1 species